rnacentral:rRNA from 1 species
UACGUAGGGACCGAGCGUUGUCCGGAAUCAUUGGGCGUAAAGAGCGUGUAGGCGGCCUUUUAAGUCCUGCGUGAAAUCCUGCGGCUCAACCGCAGACGGUCGUGGGAAACUGGAAGGCUAGAGUGCGGGGAGAGGAGAGUGGAAUUCCUGGUGUAGCGGUGGAAUGCGCAGAUAUCAGGAAGAACACCCGUGGCGAAGGCGGCUCUCUGGGACGGUACUGACGCUGAGACGCGAAAGCGUGGGGAGCGAACAGG